rnacentral:rRNA from 1 species
UACAGAGGUCCCAAGCGUUGUUCGGAUUCACUGGGCGUAAAGGGUGCGUAGGCGGUCGGGUAAGUCUGAUGUGAAAUCUCACAGCUUAACUGAGAAACUGCAUUGGAUACUAUCCGGCUCGAGGAAUGGAGGGGAGACUGGAAUACUUGGUGUAGCAGUGAAAUGCGUAGAUAUCAAGUGGAACACCAGUGGCGAAGGCGAGUCUCUGGACAUUUCCUGACGCUGAGGCACGAAAGCCAGGGGAGCAAACGGG